UGUUGCUGGUGGUCCAAACCGAGAACGAUUGACACGACGGUGUGAACGGGGUUCCGUCUGAGUUGCCUUGGUUGGUGUUGGUUGCGCUCCACCUUCCACCGGGAGACCUGCAAACAAGCCUCGCACCACCACUGGGGUAGUGGGGGCCCUCCGACGAUCAAGUCAGAGGAGAUUGGAGGAGGAGGAAAGAUGAUAAUCGCAAAGGA
rnacentral:lncRNA from 1 species